CCUACGGGAGGCAGCAGUGGGGAAUAUUGGGCAAUGGAGGAAACUCUGACCCAGCGACGCCGCGUGCGGGAUGAAGGCCUUCGGGUUGUAAACCGCUUUCAGUAGGGAAGAAGCGAAAGUGACGGUACCUACAAAAGAAGCACCGGCUAACUAUGUGCCAGCAGCCGCGGUAAUACAUAGGGUGCAAGCGUUGUCCGGAAUUAUUGGGCGUAAAGAGCUCGUAGGUCGUUUGUUACGUCGGAUGUGAAAACCUGAGGCUCAACCUCAGGCCUGCAUUCGAUACGGGCAAACUAGAGUUUGGUAGGGGAGACUGGAAUUCCUGGUGUAGCGGUGGAAUGCGCAGAUAUCAGGAGGAACACCAAUGGCGAAGGCAGGUCUCUGGGCCAAUACUGACACUGGGGAGCGAAAGUCUGGGGAGCGAACAGGAUUAGAUACCCUGGUAGUCCAGACCGUAAACGGUGGGCACUAGUUGUGGGAACCUUCCACGGUUUCUGCGACGCAGCUAACGCAUUAAGUGCCCCGCUGGGGAUACGAUCGCAAGAUUAAAACCGUCAAAGGAAUUGACGG
rnacentral:rRNA from 1 species